CGUAGUGGAGUGUGGUUGUGAGACCCUGCGUACUUGAGUGGGACUCGCUGACGUCAAGUGGAAGAAUUCGUUCGAAAGGGACCAGAUCAAUGAUGGAGGCUCGAUGUUCUCUCGUGCUGCUGCUAACUGCCAUGUCGCUGCUGCUGGGGCUGGUAGCAGCGCAGUGCCCCUGGAGGAGAGCUGUCCCAGAGCUGAGCAACAUGUGCGUGUGCGUGUCAGAUGAGCAACAGAAAUUGUCCAUUCAAUGCACGGACGCGAACUUCCCGCUGCUCAUGACCACCAUACAUAAGCUGGUCCGUAGCCGCCAAAUGGAUUUGCUGUACGUCAACGACUCGGACAUCGGGGUUCUCAACAGCAGGAUAUUUGACGGCCUGCACAUUGAGAACAUACAGUUCUCAUACUGCCGCAUCUACAACAUCAGUGAUCAAGCCUUCGUUGGGCUCGAAAGCUCACUGCAGAAUCUGAACCUUCAAGGCAACCGCCUGAAAAGUGUGCCUUCGCCCGCUCUAAAUCACCUCUCGAGCCUGCGUCUGCUGGACCUCUCCGGUAACCACAUCAACGUUGUACCCGACGGCGCCUUCGGGGGACUGCAAUUAGAGACUUUAAAGAUCGGCGACAACGACCUCCACCUCUCCCCCAACAGCUUCCAGGGGCUGGAAAAGUCUUUGAAGAACCUCAACCUGAAGGGCGCGGGCCUGGAUUCUGUUCCUGGCGCUAUUUUUUCCCUGGAAGCUUUAGCUUUCCUGGAUCUCGCGCAAAACGAAAUACAAGUCCUGCCGCCAGGGGUGUUCCGGACGCUGCACUCGCUGGCGGCUCUAAAUCUGGAGCGCAAUCUGCUGCAGUCGCUGGGCGCUGAUGUCUUCCUGGGAGUCAACGACACACUCAGCUCGCUGUCCCUGCUGAACAAUCUUAUAUCCGUGUACCCAACCGAUGCUCUCAACUCACUCACUGAUCUCAGGGUUCUCGACAUCGGAUUUAACUUGCUAGAAGACCUGCCGCUGAACGCGUUCCACAAUAUCAAGUCACUCACUCUGCUGGCUCUGGACGGCAACCAACUCCGCACUGUGCCGCUAGAACCUUUCCUGAACGUUGCGGGAUCACUCAAAGGACUCUCUGUCGGCGGGAAAUUCUUAGUUUGCGACUGCCACGUCUCCUGGAUCGUGGAAUGGAUCCAAAACAAAGACCUUCAAGUAACGUCACGCGAACGCAGCCCACAGUUCUGCGGUGAACCUGCCUACUUCAGACAACGAUCGUUUUACCAACUCACCUCUGAGCAACUGCUCUGCAACACCUCCAGCUUCACCGUAUCCUCUUCAGCAUCAGUGGCGGCCCCAGUCUCUGCUCCUACAUCUACCACUGGUAACGAUGCCCAGCAGCCUGACAUCCGAGUUGCUUCUUUUGGACCAACCCGCACGAGGACACCCUUACCCACAACACCACGACCUGAGGUAACCUCACUGCGCGAAGAUCCUCCCAUCCACCACAUGGAAGACUCCCCUCCUCGCACCCGCUCAGGAGACGGUCGGCAGGACUCGUCUCUCUCGCAGGACCAGCUUCUGAGGCCCAAGAAGAAGAUCCGCGUGGAUGAUCCUUCAAGGUCCGGACUGAUCCGCUCCGGGGACCAGGCCCCCAGAGUUCCUCCACAGCAGGUGGUGCCGGGUGGAGCUGGUGUGAGCAGAAGACCCCAGCUGGUACGUCACCCAGACUCCGUGGAGCAUCAUGAGCAGACACAGUUUGGAGCGGCGCUCAAUGCACUCAAUGAUGAGGUUAUCAUCCAAGACGCGUACAGGAAAGACAACUCAGUGAUCAUCCAGUGGGACUCAGAAGUGUCCAACAUCCUCGGCUUCAGAGUCGUCUACAGACUCUUCGGGGACAAGCAGUUCAAGCUCGGGCCACCCCUUGCGUCAUCUGAGCGGGAGUUCAAGAUCAGGAACGUGCCUACGCAGGAAUGUAUCGUCGUCUGCGUCGUCUCCCUCGAGGACAUCAACGUUACGCCUGAGAACGUGCCGUUCCCUCAGUGCCGAGAGAUCCGCACCGAAGAGUCUAAAGCCACACACAUGGACACCAUCAUCAUCGCUGCGUCUGCAGCCAUCUGCGGCACUGUCAUCAUAGCCCUCAUCAUAUUCAUCUGCUGUAACAGAAGACGCAGCAGUCGCCACUCGACAACAAAGGACGGCAUCCCGAACGUAAUAGCGCAGUCGGCAGCGCCCCUCGCUUCCCUCGGCACCCUUAGCGGGGGCCUUAAGCCUGACUGGGAUACUCUGUCCAUGUACUCGCAGCGCUCCAUCCCCAGGGCCAGGAUGUACCACAUGGACAAAGGGAACAUCAACGCGGGCUUCACCCCGGACGAGGUACAGUCGCACCUCUCGGCCGCUUCACUGCGUCCGCACUCCCGCGCUCUGGCAGACGCCCAGAGCACCCGGAGUUACGCUGGACUGUCCGCAGCACAUCUCGGUCCGCAGCUUGCUUCUCUAUCUCUUUCUAGACCAGCUCUGGGUGGUCUACCUCGUCUCUUGCCCACCGCGGGGCACUACGGAGCAGGCGAAGUAAGAUCAAGUAGACGCUGGAGAGAAAGUCUCUUAGAGAACGACGUGUACCUCAGAAGUCAUGGUCUCGUACGACUAUGAGAUUCACUGCUUCGAGGGAACUCGAUCUUCUAGCUGUGCCAUGAUCAAUGUUGAGACCUUCGCAUGUCCCGUCAGUCUCUAGCGAACAACCAGCUGAUGGGCUACAACAACUUAGGACAGGGUAU
rnacentral:misc_RNA from 1 species